CAACCUAGGUCAAGCUGUAUGCCUGUACAAGAAAUCCUUCAGCAGUCGCCGCCUAUGCCACAUUAGAAUGGCAUUAACCUUGGUGACCAUUGUGGCCCUGCUGACCUUUUCUGUGUGUAUGACCAUCAGCUUCUUCCAGCUAUGUACUGGCCGAUGUGAAGAGAUCUACACCAGGACAGGCAUGGUGGUCGAGUGGACUGGAUUUGUUGGCCUGAUAAUAUACCAACUAAUGAACUAUACAGAUUUCC